AAAAAGGGGGUUUACUGGAGGGACACUGAUUAUUGUAGAUUUGAGGAAAAAGUUGAAUGAUGAGGCUAUCUAGUAGGAAUUAAGGACAGCUUAAUUCAGCUUAAUACAACUCCAGUUUCUUCACAACCUUGGAUCUCUCUCUUUAUGAUAUGCAUUCCCAUGAGGUGACUGACAUUGGGACACUAACAAGUGCUGGUAAAGACCUACAUGAUAAUUUUCUGAAGGCUCUGGCAGCGAGAGAAGAAGACAAUCGCAGUGGAAAAGUGAGCGUGAGUGCAUUUCAUUCAGAGAUUAAAAAUGUAUACCUUAAAGGCACAUUAGUAUAUAAUAUCUAGUUAGUUGAUAAUAUAAUUUUAAAUA
rnacentral:lncRNA from 1 species